UACAGCCACAUCAUGGUGAAAGCAUUGGUUCCUGUACAAACACUGAAGUUAAGCAACAUUGAGCCUGGUCAUUACCUAGAUGGGUGACUGCUUAGGAACACCAGAUGCU